GCGUGAUGUGCAGCAUUACCAGAUGAGACUUCCUCUUUACUGGGGAUCUUUCCUGAGCCUUGGGGGAGCUGCUCACCAUGAAUCCCAGGCUUCUGUUUGUCCUUGCUGCCUUUCUGAAUUCAGGAGCAGUUUGGUUUGACAGUUCUGAUUCUAGGAUUUUCAUGAGGUUGGCGUCAGAUCUCAGCUGGAGCUGCAGGCAUCUGAUGGUUUGAAGUUGGAGGAUCCAUCCCCAAGGUACCUCACCAAAAGAUUGUCAAGCUCAAACGCAGUGGCUGAUCCUCACUGACUCCUCUUCCUAAGGUUGUUGUACUAGGAGCAUCUCCUAACACUACACGGACACAAUUCAAUGACAAAAAUCAGAGAAGGAAAACAAAACAAAACUUCUGGAAUGCCUCUUCAUCUGUACUUAACAUCUGAAGCCUCUUCCACCUGAAUGAUGAAGAUGUCAAAUAUUCUCAGCCUCAAAUUAAUGUGUCAAGUACAUUGGAUUUGUAUCUUUGUGUUCUUUCCUAUCUUCUUAAAAAAUUGUGCUAAUUACAUUUUCAAAAAUUGUUGUUUUUCUAACAUAUUGGUUACAAUAUCAAUAUAUGUGGCUUAAUAAAAUAGUCUCUGAGAACAUGUGCUUUUCUGAAUGUGUCAGGUGGCAGCUUGCUUUUAACAAUAUUGUAAGUUUUUAUAAUCAGAUUUAAAUUGUGUUUAUCUAAAAUAUUUAUGAACAUUGAAUUUAUGGUGAACAAAGCAGAGUCUUCUUUCAAAUCGCAUGUAGUUAUGUUUCAAAUAUGUGAAAUUUUUGAAUACUUCAUUAAAAUUUUAUUUUAAUAGAACACAUUAAAU
rnacentral:lncRNA from 1 species